rnacentral:rRNA from 1 species
AUUGAACGCUGGCGGCAUGCUUUACACAUGCAAGUCGAGCGGCAGCGCGGGGGCAACCCUGGCGGCGAGCGGCGAACGGGUGAGUAAUGCAUCGGAACGUAUCCUCGAGUGGGGGAUAACCCAGCGAAAGUUGGGCUAAUACCGCAUGAGCUCUGAGGAGGAAAGCGGGGGACCUGCGAGGGCCUCGCGCUGGAGGAGCGGCCGAUGUCCGAUUAGCUAGUUGGUGGGGUAAAGGCUUACCAAGGCGACGAUCGGUAGCUGGUCUGAGAGGAUGAUCAGCCACACUGGGACUGAGACACGGCCCAGACUCCUACGGGAGGCAGCAGUGGGGAAUUUUGGACAAUGGGGGCAAGCCUGAUCCAGCCAUGCCGCGUGAGUGAAGAAGGCCUUCGGGUUGUAAAGCUCUUUCGGACGGAACGAAAUGGGCGGGACUAAUACUCCGGUCUGAUGACGGUACCGUAAGAAGAAGCACCGGCUAACUACGUG